CAUAUAAAGAGUGCCUACUUGCUGCAUUUGAAAAUCUUUUAGGUCUAAAAGCAGAUGACUCUGGGUUUUGUUUGUUUGUUCCAGCUAAAUCAAAUGAAUGUUCCCAGAGGAGCUUUGUGACAGAAAGUGAGGCUUUCUUGCUGAGAGGCAAUGUUGCUUGCUUAGGCUCUUGAAGUGGGCUAGUGGGUAGGACCAGACAUGAUUUUUCCAUGGUGUAGGUUUUGGAGUCACGACUUUCCAGAUUCAGGCUCCAGGGUGCUACUGGGAGUUAGGCUUUAGAAAUGCCUUUUGUGAGUGGGGUGAGAGGUGACCAUAGCCAAACAGCCUCAGUGCUGCCACAUCGGACUUCAGCUGGGAAGUGUCACUGAUAUGGUGCUGUCACCGUGGAUUGUUUAUAAUUGUUGCUUCCCACAGAAAACCUGAAGCCGGCCCUUAUCUGCAACUGUCAGAAUUGUGCUUGUAUAGCCCAGUGUGAGGCAUGAUCCUCUGUUCUUCUAGAUGUUUAUUCACGCUUUUAUUCAUGGUUGGGAGACCUGAGCAUGGCAUAGGCAGGCUUGUUUCAGGCCUCGAUGAAUGGAAAUUAAUUUACAUUUAGCACCAUCUCUGGGUGUCAGCUUGACUUCCCUUUGGUAUACUUUCUCCUUUUGGUUUUUGCACGCAGUACUGUAUCGUCAGUAAGAGACUGGGCUUUAGAUUCACACAGAUUUAUGUUCAAAUAACAGGAUCUAUUAUUUAUUGGUGAUGUGACCUGGAAAAUGAAUUGGUUACAUAUAGAUUGUAGCAAAGGCCAAAGUAAAGUGGCUCUGAUAGGAUAGAAGUUUAUAUUUCUCUCAUAUAACAGAGUACAGUGUUACGGAUGACCGGACUUACAGUGUUCCAUACUUACAAACAGGCUCCCAAGGCUCUGCGUAAGGAUAAUUUAUAGUUGAAUAAUUAAAUCAGUAAUUCGAGAACUAGUUUCUUCUGUGCAUGUAAACGAAGCCACAUGGUGUACGCGGUUCAUUGGCGCAGCAUCUUUAUGCUGGUGGCUAGUCCCAUAGAUAGACAGAGAAGCAGCUGAUAGAAACACAAGAACACGAAGAAUCAGAAGAUCCAGAGCCAAGAAAGUUGAUGACAAAAGAAUGAGCUGAAGCCUUUCGUUUCAUGGAAGCAGGAUUUGCUAAGCUUGAGGAGCAAGAUCCUAACAUUGAACGGUUUACAAAGGUUUACUGUGCAGUUAGUGAGAACAUCAGCUGCUACAAGGCCAUUUAUGAUGAAUAAAAGAAAAAGACUGUGCAAACAACCCUAGAUAUCUUUCUCAAGAAACUGACUUCGGUGGUGAGCUCCCUCCUCCAGCAACAGAAUCAAAUCCUGACUCACCAGCACCCGCUCCAUCCUCUCCAGCGCCAUCUCCAUCGUGAUCUUCUGAUUAAUGUUAGCUACCUUCAAAUGCCCCUUCCAGUAAGCAAGAUACUGAUGCAACAUUAGCAUGCUGGGAAGAGAGCCUUUACCAGGAAAUGAAUUGGCUGACACCUUGAUCUUGGACUUACCAGUCUCCAGAACUAGCUUUAUCUGCCGGCACGAAGAGCUGGACUUGAAGUGUUUGUGAAGGAUGUUGGAGACCUUGCAGGCUGUGAGUCUUUGCCCUUCAGGAAUUGCCUCAUUAGUGGCCUUCAUUGGAAACGCCAUGAUUUGGGAGGAGCUAACAACGGGUAACCAGGGACACAGACGAGCUUGGAUUUGGUGGUGAAAGGACGCCGGAAGCCUUUGCUUCUGUUUCCCACUGAAGCAUGAGGCGAGGCUGGAGUCUCGGUAAGGAUGUUUUAAGUUCUGGCAAAGGUCACAAGGCUAUAACAUUCAGGCAGAAUGUUACUUUACUCUGGCAAACUUUAUUACUAUUACUUCCCUCUUUGAACUAGAAGAAACCAUGGGACAACGGAUUGGAGGACCUCAGGUCCAACUUUGUUUCAAAUGCCUCCUUCCAACCCUGAACAUUUCUUUGAAGACAUCAACUUGGACAUCAACUGAAUUUUUCCUUUAACACAAAGAACCACGGGGCUUUGAUUAUCAAGGUGUUAUCAGUCCAUGCAGAUAGUCCUUUCUUUGAACCAAAGAAUAUUCGAGAAUCCUCCUAGAUGUUAAUCAGGACUUUUUAAACUUGUGAUGGUCCAGCAACCUUUUGUUUGACUCUUUGGCAGGUGUGCGGAGCUUGCAAAUCCUCUCUGAACUUCAGGUUGGGAGAAUUCAAUAAAAAAAAAGACUGUGCAAUGUUAUUAAAUAUGUAAUAAAUAGCAGACAUUAUUCUCCCGGGAAAUGUUUGCUCUGUAAGCCUGAAUCUGUCUGUAGGAGAUAAAAAUUGCUUCUCUAGAUCCUGGAUCUGGGAGCUAAGGCAGGUGGAGUUAGAAUGAGGCUCACUCCUCUCACCUCUCCUCCCCUCCAGGCCUGAUGACUGGUGGGAGCACAUAGUUGAGGACAGUGGUUCCUUUCUGUACACUUUUAAUGGCAUUCCACGGCCAUUGGUGCUUCCUCCUUGGGUUACUCCACUUGGUUGUGGCUUCCUUUUCCCCAGGAGCUCCUCCACUCGGCCCUUCAAUGGCAAUGACCGGGACAACAUGGAUGUGGAGGAGGAUGUGGACUCAUUUGCCAUCUUUGUCUGUGCUGACUUCAGUGGCUGAGUCGCACAGAGAGAGGAAAGGUGAGGUGGCCGUCAGCUAUACCUUUUCAUUAAGACAGCUAAGAAUGGAGAAGCAGCGCUCAUCUCCUCAGCCUCUUCAGGAAAGGAAGCGGUUGAGGGGGGCAAGUGGAAACUUCUUCACCAAAGAACUCACCAUCAUUGAGAUGUCUCCUUAUUUUGUUGAGCUGAGAGCCUCACAACCUCCAAGCUUCCAGUUCCAUUUUGGGUGUUUAUGAGGUUUCUUGGAGGCUGAGUGGGUAACUUUCGGCCCUUUGAUGACUGGGAAACCCCUUGCACUCUACCCCAAUACUGUGUAACAUCCAAGACAAUGAGGGAGCAGGGGAGGAACUGAAUGGUCCAAGUCCUGGGGGUUGGUCAUCAUUGGAUUUUUUCAUUGUUUAAAUCUCUGAAUGUUUGUGAAGUGGGGUGUUUGCAUAUGGGUAUAUACAUAUACUUUAUAUAUAAUUGUGGUAUUAUAAUAAAAUUUUUAAAUGGGAUGUUUUUACAGGUAGAAGGAACCCAGGAUGGUGGAGGCUCACUGUCAACCACCCUCCUUAAACCUGGUCACCUUCCAGACGCCAAGGCCAGCUCUUGAGAGCUAAAGUCAAACCCUUGUUUUCUAUGAGGCUGAGUUCUUGGACUUCCCUGAAACUUUCCCCCAAACACACCAGAGACAAAAGACACUACCCUCUGUUUAGAUAAAAGAAGCAGACCUGGCAAUAAUUAUUUCUGGUUAGGAGAAACAAAGACCAUUUUCUUCAGAGGGUGUGGUAAUAUGAAAACUAGUUAUUUUUUUCUAAUUGAAACACAGUUGCUAAUCCUGCAACCUCACAGUUGUUUUGGGUUUUCUGCCUCUGUCUGUGAAAUGCAUAUUAAUGCUUACAGCAUUCAGACUCCCAGCUCUUGCUUGAAGGUUGCAGGAUGUGGCCCUCAGCCCUUUCCUUUGCUCACAGAAGGAGGACGCCUUGUCAUCACAGGAAGUUGUAUAUCUGGGCUCUUCUGAGCCCUUGAGUAGACUUUGUUUUCUUGCGUUUUGUUAACUCUGUGCGUAAACCCCAGUUUCUUCCUUAGGAUUUGGCCAAUGAUGGGCUUUUUCUUUGUGAGUUUCAAUAUCUCCUUUGCCCACAGAGGCCACUCUAACAUCUAAAGAUGGACCUGUCUAGGCUUUGGCCAUAGAUCUGCCUUGUCCAUUCCCUCUUUUCCAUGUAUGAAGCCUCUGAAACAAAUGCCCCAUUCUAUUUUUACGUUUGGUCUUUGAUGGAACCUCCAGCUGGAACUGGGCAUCUUGUGCUCAGAAGUCUCUGCUAAUCCCCUGUUCUUUUCUGGGUGAGAGAGCCCCAACCUUGCACCCCCAUUUUGAUCCUCUCCCGGUAAGGGUCACAUCUUAUUCUAGGUGAUCAUCAAAACAACCCCCUCAGGUUUGCAGGCCAGGUGCUGUCUCCGAGAAGCAGCUUAAGAAUUACGGCAGUUGACAACUUGUCCAAAGUCAGGACCUACCUGGAAAUUUUGCCUCCAACACCAACCAAAAGUCCUUCCAUUACAUCUCACACCAUCACUUAGUGGGCAAGACCCACUGGCCAGCUCUAUCGUUGUUUAAUUCCCAAGAAGCAGGGUUCGGAGUGUCCCAGGUUCUGCUGUCCUUCCCAUGUGCCUCUGUUCUAAGGGCUCUGUUUUCUGAGCACUGUCUCUAGGAACUGACGUCCUCAGCCAUUAUGGAGCUGGGAUGUCAUGGAAAGGAGAGUUUAAGGUUAACCCUGUCAGAGCCUGCUGUUGAAUAGCAGAACCUUUUUAAAGCUCCUGCUUUGUUCUUCCUGCCUCUGAAUUGAUGCUGAUAGAAGAAAAAAAAAAAAAAAAGGCUGAAUCCAUUCUCACUGUCUCCUCCUUAAGGAAGUAGAAGACAUUGGUUAUUGAAUAAAUUAUGUGGAAUUCAUUAAUGAAUUAUGUGACUUUCUGCGUUGAUUUCAUCGUGAUUUGCAUUCUUUCCAUGUCAUUCGUGGUUAAAGUGUAUAAAAAUAUUUCCUGCGAUGCUUCUGGAAAACUGAAAUAAUGAAGGGUUUUCUGCAUGUGAUCUUCAACUGAUAUUUCAGACAGUAAUCCCCUGCUGAGGAAGGCACAGAAUCUCAGAUCUCUAGGAACAUCUAUGCUCCCUUCUGUAGAAUCCGCUCCCUUAGCACAGAUGCAGUUAUGUCUGAUUAGAGCCUAUCAGCGGCUCAGCAUUGCUGUCCAGGUCGGCCUAAAAAAGGGAGGAGGCUUGGCCCAGGGACACCUGAAAUGGGAGGAUGACUGAUGAACAAUGUUGGGGACAGCACUGUGCCUCUCAAGUGCCCUGAAAUCUCCUAAUAAAGCAAUCCGUGGCUCCUAAAUCAUGAUGUUUCAGAUUUUACCCUGGAGCCUCUACCACACCCAGGAAGAUGGUCUGUGAGUUUUAGUUAGAAGCCCUGGUCUCAUUCUCUCCCUGCCCAAGUAGUUUUCCAAGACUAGAUGUUCUUAUCUUUCUUGGGAGUUUCCAUUCCUGAUGUCCCCCUGUCUUUAUAAUUAAUUUAGGAAAAUGGGAAGGAAGAGAAAAACAAAAAACAAGAGUCAAUGUCUUUUGUGAGUUGGACCUAGGGUUUUUCUACCUGUUUGAUAUCUCAGUCUUCUCCAAAUAUUGGAUUCCACUGAAUGCAGUAACAAGACAGAAAGAAGACCCCAACCCACUCAAAAAAAUCAAACAUGGAACCAAAGCCCCAGGGCCCACUAAAAUGUAGAAGGAACCAACCAACAUUUUCCAUCCUCUGACCUGGACUCCAACUCAGGCAAUGGGGCACAGAGAGUGCACGCUCCAGUCUAAAGUUCCAGGCCCCCAUCAGAGAGUUAGGGAGCAGUCAGCAAGGGCUCCUCAGCAUGGAUGAGGGGACAAAAAAGGGAGGUGAACCCAUGGCCCUUCCCCACUGCCCAGCUUAGCAGAUCCCACCACCCACUCAUGGCCACUAUAUCCCUGCACCCUUCUCUGGUCCUUCUUACUUUCCUCAGUGUAUUUAUUUAUAUAUUAUCUAUUUGUUAUGUACAUAACAUAUAACAAUUAUAUAUAUAACUUAUGUAAAAAUUUCUUCCCCUUUACACCUUAGAGAUAUGCACUUGGACUCCACCACUUCCCCAGCCUUCGGAGGUGUGACGGUCUCCCAGGAAUUUUUACUAAUUCUCAGAGAGUAUUUUUUGAACCUUUCUUUUGAAACAUAAUACCCAGCUAUGACCAAAUCAUGCAGAAUCUACAGUAUAUUUUAUUUGGAAGUAAAUCCUACACAUAAAGGUUGUAAAGGUCUUGUACCAUCUGAUAAUGCCUCUUAUUAAUUUCCCAAUUUCUUCAAAGUUUUUUUUUCUUUUUAGUAUUAUAGCCAACAUCUUCAACACUCCUCAUCUCUCCAACCUUCUCCAUUCUAUUUCUUUAUUUAGAAAGAUAAAGCAUUUUCUUCAAAGACAAUAAACUUCUAGAAGAUUUAGAUAUUAUUGUUACAGAGUUAUAGAAGAUAGAAGUAAAUAUUUGCAAGUUAUGGAAAGAACUAAAAAAGAAUUGCUCUAUACAGAUGGAGAAAUGCUACAGAUGCAUUAAAUCUUUUCUGGAAGAAGGUGGACAUACAUAGGUACAUACAUACAUAUUGAGUGAAGAAGCAGGGAUUUCUGCUAAGUCCACAUUUUGUUUUCCAUGUGUUUUCUAACCCAAACAUCUGCAGAUUCUGUUUUGUAAUAAAAAGUAUGCACCUAGAUUCCAAAUACUAUCAGUCCUGAGUGCCCCCAAACUCCAAUUAUUUCAUGAAAUUGUAAGGGAUGGGAAAGACUAUGGAUACCUGUUAUUAAAGUGUUGGGUUGGUGUAUUUUAGUUAAUUUUUUGUAAGAUGGUACUCUUUUUCACUAAAUGACAAAACAACUAGAAGAGCAUGAGGUCCUGGAAGCAGUGAAACCCUGCAUGUCAUGAAGAGGACUGUGGGCCAAGAUUGCAUCCAUCAUCAUGGGUAAAAGGUCUUUGAUAUGUACAUGUGAUUCCCUCUGUGUAAUUACAUAUAUGACUUGAGUUUAUGGCAUGUGGAGAUGAAAUCACAAUCCUUGGCUAGAUGCUAAAUAGAGUUUUUGUUGUUGUCUCCCCCAGAAGCAAAUGUUAAAGUUUGUAGCUUGAGGACUGCAUAUUUCAUCAAUUCUACCAGUGACGCUUUCAACUUGUGUGUGGGGGGGACUGACCUAAACAGAUUGAGAGGGCUAUUUUGCUCCUCUUUCUUUGUAUUUGUUGAAAUAGAUGAUUUGUUGGUAACUUAACUAAGAGAGAAACAAUUUCAUUUGUAUUGCUGGAAAAAUAUUUACUGGCUUAUAAUUUUAUUAUGGUGUAUUUUUUCAGUAUAAAAUUAUUAAAAUGUGUAAACAAUGCUUUUCUGUGCUAACUCAAUAAAUAGAAAACAACUGUUAUGA